rnacentral:rRNA from 1 species
UGCCAGCAGCCGCGGUGAUACGGAGGAUGCAAGCGUUAUCCGGAAUUAUUGGGCGUAAAGCGUCCGCAGGCGGCUAGAUAAGUCUGCUUUCAAAGAGUGGGGCUCAACCCCAUAGGGGGAGUGGAAACUGUUUAGCUAGAGUAUGGUAGGGGCAGAGGGAAUUCCCAGUGUAGCGGUGAAAUGCGUAGAUAUUGGGAAGAACACCAGUGGCGAAGGCGCUCUGCUGGACCGAGACUGACGCUGAGGGACGAAAGCUAGGGGAGCGAAAGGGAUUAGAUACCCCUGUAGUCCUAGCUGUAAACGAUGGACACUAGGUGUUGCGCGUAUCGACCCGUGCAGUGCCGUAGCUAACGCGUUAAGUGUCCCGCCUGGGGAGUACGCACGCAAGUGUGAAACUCAAAGGAAUUGACGGGGGCCCGCACAAGCGGUGGAGUAUGUGGUUUAAUUCGAUGCAACGCGAAGAACCUUACCAGGGUUUGACAUCCCUCGAAUCUCUGCGAAAGUGGAGAGUGCCUUCGGGAGCGAGGAGACAGGUGGUGCAUGGCUGUCGUCAGCUCGUGUCGUGAGAUGUUGGGUUAAGUCCCGCAACGAGCGCAACCCACGUUUUCAGUUGCCAGCAUUAAGUUGGGGACUCUGGAGAGACUGCCGGUGACAAACCGGAGGAAGGUGUGGACGACGUCAAGUCAUCAUGCCCCUUACAUCCUGGGCUACACACGUACUACAAUGGUUAGGACAAAGGGCAGCGAAGCCGCGAGGUGGAGCAAAACUCAUAAACCUAGCCUCAGUUC